rnacentral:rRNA from 1 species
AAUGAACGUUGGCGGCGUGGAUUAGGCAUGCAAGUCGAACGGACUCGGUCUUCGGACCGAGUUAGUGGCGCAAGGGUGAGUAAAGCGACGGUAACCAACCCCGAGAUUGGGUAUAGCCGCGGGAAACUGCGGGUAAUCCCCAGCGACGUCCCGAGCCGGCAUCGGCUUGGGACCAAAGCUCCGGCGUCGUGGGACGGGCCGUCGUGGUAUUAGGUUGUUGGCGGGGUAACGGCCCACCAAGCCUGCGAUGCCUACCGGGCGUGCGAGCGUGGCCCGGCACACUGGGACUGAGACACUGCCCAGACUCCUACGGGAGGCUGCAGUCGAGAAUCUUCGGCAAUGGGCGCAAGCCUGACCGAGCGACGCCGCGUGGAGGAUGAAGGCCUUCGGGUUGUAAACUCCUGUCGAGGGGGAGGAAGGCGCAAGCUUGACCUAUCCCUGGAGGAAGCACGGGCUAAGUUCGUGCCAGCAGCCGCGGUAAGACGAACCGUGCGAACGUUAUUCGGAAUCACUGGGCUUAAAGCGCGUGUAGGCGGAUGGGGACGUCGGUUGCUGAAAUCCCCCGGCUCAACCGGGGAACGGGCACCGAAACGCCCCGUCUGGAGGGACGUAGGGGGACCUGGAACUUCCGGUGGAGCGGUGAAAUGCGUUGAGAUCGGAAGGAACGCCCGUGGCGAAAGCGAGGUCCUGGACGUUUUCUGACGCUGAGACGCGAAAGCUAGGGGAGCGAACGGGAUUAGAUACCCCGGUAGUCCUAGCUGUAAACGAUGGGCACUGGGUAGGGGCUCGCCGAUGGGCUCUCUGCCGUAGGGAAACCGUGAAGUGCCCCGCCCGGGGAGUAUGGUCGCAGGCUGAA